CCUACGGGAGGCAGCAGUGGGGAAUUUUGGACAAUGGGCGAAAGCCUGAUCCAGCCAUUCCGCGUGAGUGAAGAAGGCCUUCGGGUUGUAAAGCUCUUUCGCAAGGGAAGAAAACUUAUAUUCUAAUAAAGUAUGAGGAUGACGGUACCUUGAUAAGAAGCACCGGCUAACUACGUGCCAGCAGCCGCGGUAAUACGUAGGGUGCGAGCGUUAAUCGGAAUUACUGGGCGUAAAGCGUGCGCAGGCGGUUUUGAAAGUCAGAUGUGAAAUCCCCGAGCUCAACUUGGGAACUGCGUUUGAAACUCCAAAGCUAGAGUAUAGGAGAGGGGGGUAGAAUUCCACGUGUAGCAGUGAAAUGCGUAGAGAUGUGGAGGAAUACCAAUGGCGAAGGCAGCCCCCUGGCCUAAUACUGACGCUCAUGCACGAAAGCGUGGGGAGCAAACAGGAUUAGAUACCCUGGUAGUCCACGCCCUAAACGAUGUCUACUAGUUGUUGGUGGAGUAAAAUCCAUUAGUAACGCAGCUAACGCGUGAAGUAGACCGCCUGGGGAGUACGGUCGCAAGAUUAAAACUCAAAUGAAUUGACGGCUGAGACGUGCGACGACGACGACGAGGGAGGAGG
rnacentral:rRNA from 1 species